UGCAAACUAUUAUACAUAGAAGAGAUAAACAACAAGGUCUUACUGUACAGCACAAGGAACUCUAUUCAAUAUCCUGUGAUAAACCAUGAUGGAAAAGAAUAUAAAAAAGAUUAUGUGUGUAUCUGAAUCACUUUGUUGUACAGCAGAAAUAACACAACACUGUAAAUCCACAAUACUUCAAUUAAAAAAAAAGAAGAGGAGUUCCCAUUGUGGCUCCGUGGUUAAUGGAUCUGACUAGGAGCCAUGAGGUUGUGGGUUUGAGCCCUGGCCUUGCUCAGUGGGUGGAGGAUCUGGCGUUGCCUUGAGCUGUGGUGUAGCUCACAGACAUGGCUCAGAUUCCACAUUGCUGUGGCUGUGGCAUGGGCUGGCGGCUGAAGCUCUGAUUGGACCCCUAGCCUGGGUACCUCUAUAUGCCACAGGGGUGGCCCUAGAAAAGACAAAAAAAAAAAAAAAGAAGAAGAAGAAGUGACUUGCAGUAUCUAUUAUUUCCCACUGAGGGGAAAGGAGGGAGGGAGAACGGGGAGAAAGAAGGCCAGAGAGGUCAAGACAGAAGAGGAAUGAUGCAAAAUGCUCUGUGGCUUUGGAGCUGCCUCUCCUCUGUUCCUUCCUAUUUUUCUUGGGUUUACACAGCUUGCCCAGGAGGAGACCAAGAUCUGCACUCCUGGUGGAGUGACAGGGGAGAGCAGUUCCCAAAGACAUUGUUUGAGAUGCCAGCACACCUUUGAUUCUGAGAGUAAUCAAAGAGUCCUCUCCUUCCCUCUGUUACCUGGGCCACUAUACACCCAUUAGGAUGGCUAAAUAAAAAGUACUGACAAUACCAAGUGUGGACAAGGAUGCAGAGCAACUGAAGAUCUCAUACACUGCUUUGAAAACUUAUGUACACACACACAUACACACACACACACAAACAGAUUAUACACAAAUGCUUUUUGCAGCUCUAUUCAUGGUCACCAAAAGCUGGAAAUGAUCUAAAUACCCUUUGUGGGAGAAUAGAUAAACACACUGUGGCAUAUCCAUACAAUGAUGUAAUACACAGCAAUAAAAAAGGAAACAACAAUUGAUGCAUGCAACAAAUUGGAUGAACUGCAAAGGCAUUACGCUAAGUGAAAGCAAUCUUGUAAGUUACAUAGAAUGACAGAUGACAUUCUAGAAAACAUAAAACGGAUGUUAAAGAGAUCAGUGGUCACCAGGGGUUAGGGGUUGGGGGAGGCUGUGACCAAACAGGGACGAACAAGAGUUUUUUAUGGUGAUAGAACUGUUCUGUAUCCUGAUUGUGGUGGUGGUUACAUGAAUGAAAAAAGUACACACAAAGAGGUAAACUUUAUCAUAUAAUAAUUUAAAAAAUAAAAUAAAAUUUAAAUGGGUUUUAAAGAGAGAGAGAAAAGAGCCAAGUUUGGAAUCAAUAAAAAAAAAUAAAAAUAAAAACACCCUCUACCCAUCUUUCUCUCUCCUUCCAAUUUCAUUUAUGGACUGUAAACUCUCUCCAGUGCCUCACUUUUCAUGCUUAGGAGGAAUGAUGUCAUUUUCUGGGGGUUAAAAAGUACAAGAAAUAGUAGGAAAGUAAAAUUUCAAAUGACAUUUGCAACGAUUGCUAGAUUUUUGAAUAUGGCAUUUUUUCUUUUGUCAAACUUCUGUGAGAAUCUCACCUUUAUUCCAACUUCUGAGUAUAGGCUAAGAAAAAGAAAUGUUAGGAAUGAAAGAAAAGUAAAAUCAAACAAAAAUUUUCAAAAGAUUUCAAUACAUCAUUUUCAGGGAAGAGAACAUUCCACAAAAUAGAUGUGUGAUGUAAUCUUUUACUGCCACCCCUCCAUUCCCAGAAAAAUGACAUAAUUACCAAAUAAUCGCCAUGUCAACUAUUGACUGUGGGACACUCCAGAUUCCUUUCCCAUGAACAAAUUACUGAGCAAAACAUGGUCUAGACAUAAACAAAAAUGCUUUAAGCAAUGGUGAACUUCUCCCAGUUAGCCCUCAUUUUUGAAAAGAGAGAAAAACAAGCUAAUUAACUAUUCUAAGCAAUUUACCUAAGAAGUCAUGCCACCAAAAAACUCUAGAAAAAUCGUUCCAGUCUUUAAAGGAGCAUCCAGAUAGACUGCCAAAAGGCCAUCGCAAGAAUGAACCUCCAGGAGUUCCUAUUGUAGCUCAAUGGGUUAAGGACCUGAUGUAGUCUCUUUGAGGAUGCAGCUUCAAUCCCUGGCCUUGCUCAGUGGGUUAAGGAUCCAGCAUUGCCACAAGCUGCUGCAUAGGCACAGAUGCAGCUUGGGUCUGGUGUGGCUGUGGCAAAGAGCCCAGCUGCAGCUCCAAUUCGACCCCUGGCCAAGGAAUUUCUAUAUGCUACAGAUUCAGCCAUAAAAAGGAAGAAAAAAAAAAUAAAAAGAAUGGUCCUCAAGUGGCUGGGGACUCUGGCAGGACUGGUAGGGGAGGCCCUUGGGGUUUCCUUCCCUUAGUCUUGAAGCAGGUACCUAGGAAUGGGUUGGAGGAGGGGAGGUUGCACUGGCAACAAACAGGUAGCCAUGCCCCCCAGAACAAAGGCAGAGGGGGAGGGGCAUAAGGAUGGGGAAGCGGGAAACACAGAACUGGGAUAAGAGUGGCCAGUGAUGUUCCCUACCUCGGGGGGUCACCCACUCCACAUGGGUGUCAUCAACCCCAGCCGUCCUUCACUACAGAGAACUUGGGGCCUGGAAAAUCAUACCUCUGGGAACAUGCUCCUGCUGUAUAUUAUAGUCUCUGGAUGUUUUCAAAUCAAUUGCCAUUAGAAAGAAAAAAACCCACAUCUUCCAGUUGUAGCUGUUGGCAUCCUUCCAUCGAUCACAUCAUUGUCCAAGUGUGACAACCAUGCAGGUCUCUUGAUGACCAGGACAUCUCAAUUCUAAUUGCACUUAAGUUUCACCAGGGCCCAGGCUGCAGAGAUGGAUUGACGAAUAAGGCCCAGGCAGCAAUAUUUCUAACUCUCCAGUGGACUGUAAUGAUAAAAGCCGCUGACAACACCACAGACCUCGUACUGUUUGAUUUUUUUAGCAUAAUAUGGACAUGGCUCCAAUCCCUAACAUAUUUCUACUACAUUCUAAACACCCGUUGCCCACUUUUCCUAUAUUGGUGCUGUCUUCAUUAGGUAAGAUCUUUGGAUUACCUUUUUUUUUUUUUUCCUCUAGGGCCACACUCACGGCACAUGGAAGUCCUGGACUAGGGGUAAAAGUGGAGCUGCAGCUGCUGGCUCGCGCCACAGCAACAGAACGCCAGAGCUGAGCCAUGUCUGUGACCUACACCACAGCUCACAGCGACACUGGGUCCUUAACCCACUGAGUGAGGCCAGGGAUCAGACCCGAAACCUCAUGGAUAAUAGUCAGGUUUGUUAUCACUGAGCCACAACGGGAACUCCCAGAUUACUUUUAAUGCACACAAAAUAAGGCUAUUGGACUUCCUAUUCUGUUAGACUUAGUAUUAACAGGUCUUUCUCUUAAGGCCUUGGAUUGUAAUAAAAUGCACAAAAAGGGUAAUAAUUUGUAUUUUCUAUGGGAGUUCAUUUAAUUGGUGAUUUCAACACAGGCUAUUUAGCUUUUAAUUAUGUCAUCCUGAAUUCUGAUCUUCUGCCUUCAGACAAAACAACAGGACCAUUUUCCUUCACUCAACUUUUAUAAAGUAGAUCAAAACCAGCUCUUUAAAUUGUGUGUUCCCUUCACAGGUAAUUUAAACAGCCUCUGUCAGUAAUGAAGUCCUAAUACAGCCCGGCAGUGAAUACCAAGGAUGAAGAUUCAAUCAAAUCAGAAAACACUUCUGCACUGCCCAAUUUCUUCCAAAAUUAAACAACCAAGAAAUGAUGUUGGGCUACACGAGGUCAUCAAGACACAACUGUUGUAAUUAUCAUUGGAAAGGCCUAAUAAAUGAGUAGAAAAUGAUCUUGCUUGCAAGAAUUAAUUAAAAUCUUGUUAAAAGACCAAACGGCAAUGCCUAUGAGCCCCUGCUAAGUACACAGAAUUAAUGGAGUUGCGCGAGGCACAUUAAAAGUAAGCAAAUUAUUAGUUACAAGCUGAGAUGCUUCAACAUUUAGCUUCUUGAAAGCUGAAGUAAAAAUAUAGCUCAAAAUUCUAAGAUAUGUCUUGUGCGUUAUAACUGCUUUAUUAGGAAAGCAUUCCAAUCUCUUAAGAUCUAAUUUCCUCAGUUGCAAGAAAUUGUUUCCAAGCAAAUUUUUGAAGCUAAAGCAGAGAACUGACAACUCUGCAUGUUAACAUAAAUGAGGGAAGAAAUGGACUCCACUGCAUCUUUUUCUAGAGAUUCUGUGUAGCCCUUGGAGAAAACUCAGGACCCAUAGGUUCCUUGUGGAAAGCUUCUCCAUUAAUUGGGCCUCCUGGAUGACCUCUGACCCCCAUCUUCCCUCCUGUCAUCCUCUCAACUGACAAAUGGCUCAUCUCCAAAGACCAACUCAUAUGCCAUCUCUUUUGAGGAUUUUCACCCCAAGUAUUUUCUGGCAGAAGGAAUCUGUGGCCCACUUGGUAGUUGUCUUGUUCCCUUUUGCAGAUAACCGUGUGAAUGCUCAGAGGGUAGGAUAUAUCCCACCCCAGGACCUACGCAGCACCUUCCCCAUCAGUAAGUGUUCAAACCUAUUUGACAAGCAAAUGGGAAUUUAAGGAAAUGUCCUCAAAGAGUCUCUCCUUUGGAGCCCCUGGAAAUGUGCUUAUUUUCCUUAACAAUUUACUGAAAAAUUUCUAAGUCAGUUCUUCCUAAUCAAGUCUGUGAGGACCAGGGAUGGCUGUUAGGGCAUCUGUAGAACCCUUGCAAUUGUGUAUAAAUUUAAUCUUUAUUCUAGUAUGUGGCUCCCCCACCCCACCACACACCCUGGAGAAUCUCUACAGCUCUUUUUGAGUCUUUAAGGUAACUGUAAUCCAAGAAUCAAUUUUUAAAAAUUGGUCACUGUUCUACAUGUAUUUUCGUAUACAUAUUUUUGUAUUUUGUAGCUUCAUGAAAUGGAAGCUACAAAUGUAAUGAGCUACCUAGGGCAGUUGCCAUCCAUUGGAUAUUUAUUAAAGAAAAUCUCCAUUCUGAUUGCUCCAGAAAUUAUUUGCAUGAGGGCCAAAAUGAACCACAUGACUUGUAGAAUCUUCUAGUGUUGAAACUAGAAGUGGCCUUAGAGAUCAGCUAGUCCAGUGGCUUAAAAACUGUAGAAUGCACAGAACCAUCCAGAGAACACGUCAGAACACUGAUUUCUGGGUAUUGCUCCUACCAUUUAUGAUUUGGUAGGUCUGGCAUGGGCCCAGGAAUGUAUUUCUAACCACUUUCAGGUGAUGUUGAUGCUGUCUGUGGACCACACUUUGAGGGGCAAUGAUCUAAUCUUAUUGACUCCUGUAUAAAUGGGUAGAUGGAGAAGCUAGGUGUGACCUUGACAAAGUAACACAGCCAAAGAGGAGACCUUGGUUCUCUCCACAGUCUGAUUAGCAGAGUCCUCUUAGACAGGUCACAUCUGAGUCCCUAAAACCUGAAGAUGACCAGCACAGGCACAAAAAUGUCUUAGCUGGAGACAUUCAAAUGUGUUGGCAAUACUAGUUUCACCUGAAACCUCAGCACAUAUGAAGAGAGAAGCAUUUCUUAUUCUGCUCAUUCCAAGCAGAGAGUUAAGAGUUUUGUUGAUGUUGUUUUUAGUCUUUCCUCUAAAUAAUAAAUCUCGGUGGCACUUUUAUUGCUGUGGCUAAAUGUUCUUUGGAAGUGAAAACAUUAUGUCAUCCUUCUGACAAUGCAAUGAGAAGGUUCUUUUCAUGGGGUCACUUUCAUAGUGUUCUAAUGAUGACAUAUUUCUCUAUAAACCUUUUAAAUAAGUUUUUUUUUUCAAUUAUUUUAAGGAGUGUGUUUUCCAGCAUCUGGAAAAAUCCUCUCCAAGCCCUCUCCACAACCAAAUAACACUAUCAAUAAAAGCAAGAUCUACAAGAUUUGGCUUCAACCAAGUUUUACCUUGUCUUGCACCAUCCUAGACUGCUGAGAACUAGCAUCAGAAUACUGUUUGCUCCUAACCUCUCCCCAAUGUUACCAGACCCUCCCCAAGUCUGCUUUGGUUUUUGCAUAUUGGUAUUCCUCUUUUUAGGGUCUCUGACCCAUAUUCUGGACUUUCUGACUCAGGACAUGCAGAUUCAUCUCUCUGUGAUAUGGCUUGGCUCUCUUAGGAACAGCUCUCACUGACCUGAUUUGUCCUGACUACAACCCUUUUGUGUCAUGUGUCAGACUGACAAUCCUGUUUCCAAAGUGUUCUAGGAAAAAAAUGAGCAAAGCACAUUAUAGAUGAAUUACUCAACAUCACAACAUCUUAACGUGCAGAAAAGCAUUUGUAAAGCCCUCCCAAAUUUUUUAAAAACUUUUUCAAUUGCAUGGUACUCAUUCUCCACUGUUUAUUUUAUGAAAAUUGAAAUGAUUCACUAUUCUUUGAGUAAUAAAUUUCAGACUGAAUGUGAAUAUAAAAUAUAAAACUCUACCUCAGUUAUAUUUUCUUCUGACCAUAAUCACCGUCCCCAGUUCUCUAGGGUGGUGGACUCAACUUAGGAAGUAUAUACAAACUCUGCAAAUCAGCCUCAUCCUGGAUGGGAAGGAUGUAAGACUGAAUGGACCAAAUAAGAUGGAUCCUACUCUAUCCACAGUACCACUGUCUUCCACGGAGUUUUACUUCUAGACAUUCCCAAGCUGAGCGUGGCUUCAUUCCUGGGUUUCACACCACCUCAAACCAGGGGAACAGCAGCAUUUUAUUACUGAUAUCACAGCCAUAUCACAAUCAUCAAUCUGAGUGCCUUCUCUGUACCAGAUCCGACGGACACCCUGUUUCUUUAUAACAGUUUUUUCAAAGGUUAAGUAAUUACAAAGGGCUUCAGAUCUGACAAGUGAAAGAAACAAGAUUUGAAACUAGGUCUCCUCUUACUUAGACCAGCAGUUCUCAAAGUUAGUUCCAGGAACCCCUGGUGGGGGGGGUUUCCUCAAAAAAAACCUUUCAUGGGUCAGCAAGGGCAAAAGAAUUAUCUGAAAAGACUAUUCAAAUACUCCUCCCUUUUCCAACAGUAUUUCUCCAUGAAGC
rnacentral:lncRNA from 1 species